ACCGAAUUUUGAAAUUCGGGGGAGCUAGAACAGCCGCUAGCCAGAGAAGAAGAUGGAUCUUUUCUUUCAGGAAUUGCAGAGUGAUGAUCUUGCCUUCUGGUUUGAGCUUACUCCACUGAACCAAAGCGCUUUCCUGCCCUAUUCAAGCACACCCACAAGCGAAAUUUCGGCAAGUAAUUCUGGCAAUGGAUCAAAUUCUACUAACAUGAACAAGAGAAUGAUUGACUUCAUGAGGAGAAAUUGGCCUGUAAGAGUUGGAAGUCAAGAAUCCGAGAGUGCAAGAUGUUACCGCCGGAAGAUAAGCGAGAGAAUGCGGAGAGAGAAGGAGAAGAACGGCUAUUUAGCGCUUCAUGCUGUGUUGCCCCUUGGCACCAAGAACGAUAAGAACUCGAUUGUGCAAAUGGCGGCGAAGAGAAUUCUUGAGCUGAAGCAAUAUAAGGAGGUGUUGGAGAGGAGAAACCAUGAGCUCGAAGUGAAGGCGAUCAAGGUUGGAAAUGUACCGAGGAGUAUAAAGAUUAAGUUCAAAGUAGGAAAUUCAACAUCAGGGGUUGAUUAUAUGGUGGAGGUUCUUAAGUGCUUGAAUAGCUUUGGAUCAAAAAUCACAAGCAUUAAAUCAAGGUUUUCUGAUCAAGAAGUUGCGGCAGUAAUGGAUAUUGAAACCGAGAUUUCAGAUGCUGAGAUAAGAAAGACAGUGCAGAGAACACUAGAGGAUGUUGAGAGGAAUCUUCGCAGCCAUUUUUCCGGAAGGUUGCAACAAACCUGAACCAAUAGAGUUGGUUGGCGCAUUCAUUGGCCCAAAUGAAUAUAUGCAAAGGUGGUGGUGUGAGAAAAAGUCAGUUUGCCAUUACACGUUUUGACCUUCGAAGAAAUAUCAACAACGAGUUCGCUGUCAACAUGGAUUCUUGCAUUGUGAUGAUGCUUCAAUGGAAAUGAGGCCUGAACCAGAACCCCCACACCCUCCUGAUAUGGUCUUUGGAGCUGCCAAGUGAAUCCAGUUAUUCUCAAACAAAUCUACCAUAUUGUCACAUCAGGAACUGAAGGGAGAAAAAAAAGCGAUUUUUUUUUUUAAAUGGCAAGGCAGACGAUAUUUCAUUUGCUGUUUAAAUAUGGCCCAUGACCCAGUAUGAUAGGAUCAGAUUCACAGUCCAACAACUAGCUUUAUAAGAAAAAGGACUACAGUCCAAGAAACAUAAAUGGUGCCCCAUCUGAACAGCUAGAAAGCCCAACAUGCCUACAGCUCAACGCCUCCGCACAGACUAGGGAGAAUGUUGAAGACACAACAAGAAGCUAAAAACCAAGCAUGGCGAAAGAAAGUUAGCAGAAAGAAGGCGGCUCCAAAGAACAAGUCUUCUACCUCCAAAAAAAUGCAACCGAAGACAGGAACCCACAAGAGACAAAGAAUGCUAAAACCAUGGACCAACCAGAGAAGCACAGGUUGUUCUAGGAGGGCGACGAGGCAGAACUUGGUCAACAAAAAAAUUCUACAGAGUUGGCCAUAGAAGUAGAGCCAGAAGAGCCUCCAAGGUACAUUCCCUCCCUUUAAAGGCCAAAAAUUUAUCUUAACUAUUAAAAUCUAUACACAAACAAUGUCGCUUUUUAUUUAAUUUUUUUGGUUAAAAACAUCGCCAGGUUAUUACAAGACCAUCUGGUUUUCCUGUUGACCUUGAUCCCAAGGCCAUUAAAUCUUCUAGUCAUUUACUAUUGAAGAAAUAUUAAUGACGUUCACAAUUCAAUUUUCA